GAGCCGGGUAUAUACAGGCUGACCGGCCGGCUGAGUCCUUUGAGGGUUGUAGAAGAGGAGAGAGGAGGAGAGAGAAUGGCGCUGACUAUUGCAGAGUUUGAGCUGUUUGGCUUAUUGUUUCUGGGAUGUUUGGGGAGUUACAUCUGGCAUAAAUAUAGUGAGUGGAGAGAGAAGAGGGAGAGAGAGCCUGACCCGGAGAAUCCAGCAGAAGAUCCAGUGAAAAAUUCUUUUGAGGAUCCAUAUUACGAGAUCAAGGAGGAAGAAAUCAUUGAUUGGGUCUAUUCAGUGGCGGGCUGAGGAGGAAACACCAGGAGAAGAUUCCAUCUUUCUUACAGUUUAUGCCAUGUAAACUAUUACAUAAAAUCA